AUUGAACGCUGGCGGAAUGCUUUACACAUGCAAGUCGAACGGCAGCACGGGUGCUUGCACCUGGUGGCGAGUGGCGAACGGGUGAGUAAUACAUCGGAAUGUACCCAGUCGUGGGGGAUAACGUAGCGAAAGUUACGCUAAUACCGCAUACGUCCUGAGGGAGAAAGCGGGGGACGGUAAGGCCUCACGCGAUUGGAGGGGCCGAUGGCGGAUUAGCUAGUUGGUGGGGUAAAGGCCUACCAAGGCGACGAUCCGUAGCGGGUCUGAGAGGACAGCCCGCCACACUGGAACUGAGACACGGUCCAGACUCCUACGGGAGGCAGCAGUGGGGAAUUUUGGACAAUGGGCGAAAGCCCGAUCCAACCAUUCCGCGUGAGUGAAGAAGGCCUUCGGGUUGUAAAGCUCUUUCGGCAGGGAAGAAACGGCUUGGGAUAAUACCCCGGGCUAAUGACGGUACCUGAAGAAGAAGCACCGGCUAACUACGUGCCAGCCGCCGCCGUAA
rnacentral:rRNA from 1 species